CGGGCGGGUUCAUACCAAGAACAUUUUCAAAAUAAUUUAACAUUUAUUCGUUGUCCACUACACACUUUGAUUUCUUUUUUGGGCAUGUUUGCAAUUGUCAUGGAACCAUUCAUUAUUUGGACAAAUUUUAAGAUUUAUGUUUUUAUGGGUAGAAACUGAGUGUUCAAACACUUUGAAAGCGCUAUCGUACACAAUUUGAGUUAUCUCACUUACGGUGUUAUGUAUAUCCACAUCUGAAAUAAUCAUCAUAAUAUUAUUUACAACCGACAA
rnacentral:lncRNA from 1 species